rnacentral:rRNA from 1 species
AGUGAACGCUGGCGGUAGGCUUAACACAUGCAAGUCGAACGGCAGCACAGUAAGAGCUUGCUCUUACGGGUGGCGGGUCGCGGACGGGUGAGGAAUACAUCGGAAUCUACUUUUUCGUGGGGGAUAACGUAGAGAAACUUACGCUAAUACCGCAUACGACCUACGGGUGAAAGCAGGGGAUCUUCGGACCUUGCGCGAUUGAAUGAGCCGCUGUCGGAUUAGAUAGUUGGCGGGGUAAAGGCCCACCAGGGCGACGAUCCGUAGCUGGUCGGAGAGGAUGGUCGGCCACACGGGAACGGGGACACGGUCCAGACUCCUACGGGAGGCAGCAGUGGGGAAUAUUGGACAGCAGGCGCGAGCCUGAUCCAGCCAUACCGCGUGGGUGGAGAAGGCCUUCGGGUUGUAAAGCCCUUUUGUUGGGAGAGAAAAGCAGCAGGUUAAGACGACGCUGUUCCGACGGUACCCAAAGAAUAAGCACCGGCUAACUUCGUG